rnacentral:rRNA from 1 species
UACGUAGGGGGCAAGCGUUGUCCGGAAUUAUUGGGCGUAAAGAGCUCGUAGGCGGUCUGUCGCGUCUGCUGUGAAAACUCAGGGCUUAACCCUGAGCUUGCAGUGGGUACGGGCAGACUAGAGUGCGGUAGGGGAGACUGGAAUUCCUGGUGUAGCGGUGAAAUGCGCAGAUAUCAGGAGGAACACCAGUGGCGAAGGCGGCUUCCUGGACUAAUACUGACGCUGAGGUGACGAAAGCCGUGGGGAGCAAACAGG